rnacentral:rRNA from 1 species
GUGAGGAAUAUUGGACAAUGGGCGCAAGCCUGAUCCAGCCAUGCCGCGUGCAGGAUGACGGUCCUAUGGAUUGUAAACUGCUUUUAUACGAGAAGAAACAUCCCGACGUGUCGGGACUUGACGGUAUCGUAAGAAUAAGGAUCGGCUAACUCCGUGCCAGCAGCCGCGGUAAUACGGAGGAUCCAAGCGUUAUCCGGAAUCAUUGGGUUUAAAGGGUCCGUAGGCGGUUUAGUAAGUCAGUGGUGAAAGCCCAUCGCUCAACGGUGGAACGGCCAUUGAUACUGCUGAACUUGAAUUAUUAGGAAGUAACUAGAAUAUGUAGUGUAGCGGUGAAAUGCUUAGAGAUUACAUGGAAUACCAAUUGCGAAGGCAGGUUACUACUAAUGGAUUGACGCUGAUGGACGAAAGCGUGGGUAGCGAACAGGAUUAGAAACCCUAGUAGUCC